rnacentral:tRNA from 1 species
GCUUUUCUAGUAUACUAAAUACAAUUGACUUCCAAUCUCUAAAAUCUGGUACCAACCCAGAGGAAAGCA